GAUGAAGAACGUAGCGAAAUGCGAUAAGUAAUGUGAAUUGCAGAAUUCAGUGAAUCAUCGAAUCUUUGAACGCACCUUGCGCCCUUUGGCCAUUCCGAAGGGCAUGCCUGUUUGAGUAUCAUGAACACCUCAACUCUUCAUGGUUUUCCAUGAUGAGCUUGGACUUUGGGGGUCUUGCUGGCCUGUGGGUCGGCUCCUCUCAAAUGAAUCAGCUUGCCGGUUUUUGGUGGGCAUCACAGGUGUGAUAACUAUCUACGCUUGUGGUUUUCCACCAGGGUAACCUUCAGCAGUGGAGGUUCACUGGAGCUUACAAAUGUCUCUCCUCUGUGAGGACAGCCCUUUGAAUGUUUGAUCUCAAAUCAGGUAGGACUGCCCGCUGAACUUAAGCAUAUCAAUAAGCGGAGGA
rnacentral:misc_RNA from 1 species